UCUGGGCAUACACUACACCUCGCGAUAACGUAUUUCAGAAUAGAUAUAGAUCUUUGAUAAUUAUCUUAACCUUCACUGCCUGAAGUUGAGUGGAUGUGUUGUUUUCCUAAAUGGUAAACGCGGUACACGGUGUGGUAAACCCACUAGGCCUAUAAAUAGGUGUCAGUGUAGGCCAUUGUUUACGACACCUCUUGUUCGGUCUAACCGUCCGUUAGCGACGGUGUUAUACUCAAGGUGUCAUUAAAAAUAUUUUCUUAAACAAUGCAUGGAAGUUUAAACUUUGGAGACACGUUUUAGAAUCUAGAAUAUAAAUAUACAAUAAUACUAAUCAUACUAUGGGUCUGCGAAAAUGAAAUAAAAAUUUCUGGAUAAUAAAACCGGGCCACAUUUAUUUGGGUGAUAAACUGUAAAGCUUGACCCAGUUAAUUUAUGAGAACGCUUUAGUUUAGGCUAGUUGUCAUUGUGGUUCGCCGUCUUCAACAACUGUGCUGCUGUCGCGUUACUGUCAGCUAUGGCGGUGGCCUUGUUCAUAGUCGCCAUUGUAAUCUACCUGCUGUAUAGAGCAUUAAAGUGGUUUUGGUUAACAUAUGUAGCUUCUGAAGAAACAAAUCAGCGUUACGGAAAUUCGGGCGCCGUUAUCGUACAGGAGAACGCAGC